CUCUUCUUGCUAGUUUUACAUUUUCAUGAGCAUACAAAUGUGAUGGACACGAGCAUACAUAUAUGGUGUUUCUGAAUUCCAGCAACAAGUGGAGGUUGCUGACACGAAUUCACAGUCCUAUUGUGAUUGCGGUGUAGUGUUACUCGCGCUCAACAUAUUCAGUCAUACAACGAGGAGAACUCCGGGCCUGAGAGAGGUGUGAAGUGAUUCUUCAUCCUCGAGGAGAUCGACACUGCGAGACGCCGAGAGAGAGAGAUGGAGGAGCUUCAUCCUCGGGGAGAUCGACACUGCGAGACGCCGAGAGAGAGAUGGAGGAGCUUCAUCCCCGGGGAGAUCGACACCGCGAGACGCCGAGAUUCAUCGCAGAGUGGUCGAGGAAAGAGAGAGAGACGAGGACAGAUCAGCGUCGGUUUCUUAACGAGGCGUCGAGGAGGCGUCGAGGAUAGCGAGAUAGACGAGGAGAGAACAUCGUCGAUCAUCACAGAGGUUUCGGGGAGAGCGAGAGAGACGAGGCGACAUCAUCGUCAAUUGAUCAUGGAGGCUUCGAGGAGAGCGAGAGAUACGAGGAGACAUCAUCGUCGAUUGACCACGGAGCCGUCGAGGAGGCGUCGAGGAGAGAUCGAUUUCGUCGAGAGGAGGAGAAGAUUGAAGGCGGAGUCGUCGAGAGAGAUACAGAAGAAACGCUUGUGUUUCGUGAGAGAGAGAGAGAAAGGGACGCCGACUCACAUCAUGCCAACAUGUGUCCCAUUAGCAUCGCUUCCUUUGAAGCCUAAUUAAGCAGCGCGUCCUCUCUAAUUAAUUCAUUUUCCUUUUAUUUAAAUAAAAAAAUCACUAAGCACCCCUUUAAGCACUUGGGUUAAUGGUGGUCUAAUGCUCAUUUUUCUUCUCAUGGUUUUUUUUUACAUGUUAAGUUAUCGUACCUACUGGUAUCUUUAUGUUUUCAUUAUUGUUUUGGCUCAUCGUUUUAAUUUGUUUUUUCCAUUAAGUUGUGAUAUUCAAAUCAUUGUAUUGCUACCUUUGAUAUUAAAUAAGACUAGUGGUAUUCCGGCGCUACGCGCCGGGUUCGUA